rnacentral:rRNA from 1 species
AACGAACGCUGGCGGCAGGCCUAACACAUGCAAGUCGAACGGUGAAGGAGAGCUUGCUCUCCGGAUCAGUGGCGAACGGGUGAGUAACACGUGGGCAACCUGCCCCUCACUCUGGGAUAACGCCGGGAAACCGGCGCUAAUACCGGAUACGACCAGGCGCGACAUCUCGCCUGGUGGAAAGAAUUUCGGUGAGGGAUGGGCCCGCGGCCUAUCAGCUUGUUGGUGGGGUAACGGCCCACCAAGGCGACGACGGGUAGCCGGCCUGAGAGGGCGACCGGCCACACUGGGACCGAGACACGGCCCAGACUCCUACGGGAGGCAGCAGUGGGGAAUAUUGCGCAAUGGGCGAAAGCCUGACGCAGCGACGCAGCGUGAGGGACGACGGCCUUCGGGUUGUAAACCUCUUUCAGCGGGGACGAAGCGAAAGUGACGGUACCCGCAGAAGAAGCACCGGCUAACUACGUGCCAGCCGCCGCUGUAACAC